rnacentral:tRNA from 1 species
AAAAAUUUAGUUAAGUUAUAACAUUAGUUUGUCAAGCUAAAAUCAUUUUUUAAAAAAUAAUUUUUA